rnacentral:rRNA from 1 species
AGAGGGUGCGAGCGUUAAUCGGAAUUACUGGGCGUAAAGCGCACGUAGUCGGCUUUGCAAGUCGGGUGUGAAAUCCCCGGGCUCAACCUGGGAACUGCAUCCGAGACUGCAUUGCUAGAGUAUGGGAGAGGGAAGCGGAAUUUCUGGUGUAGCAGUGAAAUGCGUAGAUAUCAGAAGGAACAUCAGUGGCGAAGGCGGCUUCCUGGACCAAUACUGACGAUCAGGUGCGAAAGCGUGGGGAGCAAACAGGAUUAGAUACCCUGGUAGUCCACGCCCUAAACGAUGAGAACUGGAUGUCGGGAGGGUUUGCCUUCCGGUGUCGUAGCUAACGCGUUAAGUUCUCCGCCUGGGAAGUACGGCCGCAAGGUUGAA